rnacentral:lncRNA from 1 species
UGCAAUGUUGGUCUUUAUCAUUUUGGACAGAACUGGAAUACAUAGUUUAAUUUCAUUUAUAGUCUGUUGGUUGUUUUAAUCUGUUUGGUCUUGAUUAAAAUACAAAGUUAUAAUGUGAGUUAUUAAACCUGCAAUAUUUAUCAUCUUCACACUUGUUUUUUUUAUUUACAACAGAUUGUUUUCAUCAGAUACAAGCACAAGGUCAGUCUGUGAUGUCCUAUGUUCACAUCUGUCACAUUUGUCUGAUUAUUUUACUUUGUAGCUUCACUUCUUUCAUAUACGUUAAAACACAAUUUCUCCUUUUUCACAGCUCUUCCUUCAGCUAAUCUAAUAGCGAAUAAACACACAAUCACAGAGUCAGACUCAGUUACGCUGCUUUGUCAGACUCCGUCAUCUAUUGUUGUGGAUCAGUGUUAUUUCUAUACUGAUCAAGGACAAACUCCUAAAAUCUUCCCCUGCCUGCAGACACUGACAGGAACUGAUCUACUGUCUAUGUCACGGCAGCGUCCACCUGCUAAUGUUAAAGUCAAGUGUUUUUAUACUGUAGAGUAUGAAGACACACAUUCUCCGUCUCCACACAGUGAUUCAGUCUCCAUCGCUGUACACAGUAAGCAGCUGCCUUUAGAUUUGAUAUGAUUGAUUGUUCCCCUUGAAUCACAGUAAAAACAAUUUGAGUAGUGACAAUCUGACCUGAAUAAUUUAAGCAUAAUGUGCUUGAUACCAGAAUUUCAAAUAUAUUAAUUGUCUUUAUUUUUUGAAGGUCUAAAGCCACAGAUGAGCUGUUCUGAUUUGGGUGACUACUUUGUCUACACUUGCUUUUUGCCUGAAUCUGUUGAACAUGGUACAAAAUGUAACUUGUACAUUGGAGAAGCACAUCAUCCAGUCUCAACAACAACCACCAUGAAGAAAACCACCUCAAAAAAACAGCAGUUGUGUCAGUUUUAUAUCACGAGAGACGAUUUGCUGAAACACUUACAAUUAGUUCAGCUAAAGGAGGCCAGCUGUGAUUACAGCCUGGAACAUGAACCCAACUUUGCUUCUGCUCCUAGUGAUGGAUGCAGCUUGACUGGUCUGGUUCCACCUGAGCUGACAGUGACUCCACUGGUGAUCACAGAGUCAGACUCAGUCACUGUGAACUGUCAGACUCCAUCAUCUGUUCCUGUCUAUCAGUGUUGGCUCUACUCAGUGAGGGAUCAAACCUACAGAGUCGUCUCUUGUCAUCAGACACUGACAGGAAGUGAGCUGAUGAAAAUGACUCAUCAAAGUUCACCUGCUGAGAUUGAAGUUACAUGUUAUUACAUUGUAGAGCAAAGAGGAACUAUAUCUGUGUCUCCACUCAGUAACUCUAUCAUCAUACAGAGUAAGUAGCUACUGGGAUAUGUUUUAUUACAGCUUAUUACAAUAUCAACUAAUAUCAAAUCUGAACCAUCACAUGCUUCAAGCUGCAGACAGAGUUAUAAAACCAAUGAUGAACCAGAUGCUGUUUUAGUGUUUUAGGUUUGUCAUAAAAUAUAUAAUUUUUAAUAUAUUAAACAGACAGUCAAACAUCAUCCAUCAAUGUACAGAGUGAGUAAAUGCAUGGGAAUGAAUCAUGUCUUACUUUAUCUGUCAUUAAAAAACGUUUUAAAUACGUUAAUUUAAGUCAGGUUUAACAGGUCUUCAUCUUAAUAGUCUUAUAUUAUAUGAUUUAUGACUUAAUAGUCAUUUUACAAUUAUAGUCUACAUCUGCAGAAAGUCUGCAAUGGACUGGCGACCCGUCCAGGGUGUACCCUGCCUCUCGCCCAUAGCCAGCUGGGUUAGGCUCCAGCACCCCCGUGACCCGCAUAUGGGAAUAAGCGGUUUAGAAGAUGGAUGGAUCUGCAGAAAGUCAAACAUUAUCCCUCACUACAAACUGACUCUCUAAAAUCACUCUGCAUCUUUAUGUGUCAAUACAUGGAAAGCCAAUCAGUUUAAUUUGUUCUUCAGUUUUUAAAAUAUCUUUACAGCAUGUGAUACAUUAAUUGAACCUCUGUUGCAUGUUAUGAGCUCACAGAUGAUUUGACCACAUUUUAUUACAGCUAAUGCAGAAACACAGAGUGUUCCAGCAGCUACUGUCACCACAGGUACACACAGACAUUUGUUACGUUGUCAUUGCUUCACCUCAAAUGUUUAUGUAGUUUUCCA